GGGGUGCGCUCAGAGCAGGGAGCCUGAAAAAUGGCUUCUCUGUCUAUAACACACCCAACAGGAAUCUGAGGGCAUUGUGACGAGGAGCACAAAACCUGUGGCCUCCCUACAAACCAGUUCCCUACAUGU